rnacentral:lncRNA from 1 species
AUGGUUCACUAUCCUCUUGGCCCAGAAACCCCUACAAAAUCAUGCAAAUCAAGAGAUUCAAAUUUGCAUGCUCACUUUUAAGAACACCCAUGAAACUGGCCAGGGCAUCUAGAGUAUGCAUAUCUGGAAAGCCACCAGGUAUCUGAAAGAUGUCACUUUAAAGAAAUUAUUGUGAGUUCCAGUGAUGUAAUGGAGUUUGUAGGUGUAUCCAGGCCAAACAGCGGGGCUGGACAUUGGGUCGACAGCCAAAAGAGUGCUGAAUUUUUGCUGCACGUGCUUAAAAAAUGCAGAAAGUGAUGCUGAACUUAAGGGUUCAGAUGUAGGUUCUCUACAUAUCUCGUGAACAAAGCACCAGGGAUGCGCUGAGAGAGCUCAUGGCCGCCAGACUACCUGGUACAUGAUUCCCAGUCCAAUCGAGAUGAUCCUCACUAAAAAGGCGCAAAUCGUUCCGAAGCCAGAAGAGAAGGUGGCACAGAAGAAAAGAUAUCCCAGAAGAAACCAAAACUUAACGGCACAGGAAUAG